UACGGGGGGGGCAAGCGUUGUUCGGAAUUACUGGGCGUAAAGGGCUCGUAGGCGGCCAACUAAGUCGGACGUGAAAUCCCCAGGCUCAACCUGGGAACUGCGUCUGAUACUGGAUGGCUUGAAUCCGGGAGAGGAUGGUGGAAUUCCCAGUGUAGAGGUGAAAUUCGUAGAUAUUGGGAAGAACACCGGUGGCGAAGGCGGGUCUCUGGGCAUUUCCUGACGCUGAGGCGCGAAAGCGUGGGGAGCAAACGGG
rnacentral:rRNA from 1 species